rnacentral:rRNA from 1 species
AUUGAACGCUGGCGGAAUGCUUUACACAUGCAAGUCGAACGGCAGCACGGGAGCUUGCUCCUGGUGGCGAGUGGCGAACGGGUGAGUAAUGCGUCGGAACGUACCGAGUAAUGGGGGAUAACGCACCGAAAGGUGUGCUAAUACCGCAUACGCCCUCCGGGGGAAAGCAGGGGAUCGCAAGACCUUGCGUUAUUCGAGCGGCCGACGUCUGAUUAGCUAGUUGGUGGGGUAAUGGCUCACCAAGGCGACGAUCAGUAGCGGGUCUGAGAGGAUGAUCCGCCACACUGGAACUGAGACACGGUCCAGACUCCUACGGGAGGCAGCAGUGGGGAAUUUUGGACAAUGGGGGCAACCCUGAUCCAGCCAUUCCGCGUGAGUGAAGAAGGCCUUCGGGUUGUAAAGCUCUUUCAGCUGGAACGAAACGGUACGCUCUAACAUAGUGUGCUAAUGACGGUACCAGCAGAAGAAGCACCGGCUAACUACGUGCCAGCAGCCGCGGUAAUACGUAGGGUGCGAGCGUUAAUCGGAAUUACUGGGCGUAAAGCGUGCGCAGGCGGAUUGUUAAGCAAGACGUGAAAUCCCCGGGCUUAACCUGGGAAUGGCGUUUUGAACUGGCAGUCUAGAGUGUGUCAGAGGGGGGUAGAAUUCCACGUGUAGCAGUGAAAUGCGUAGAGAUGUGGAGGAAUACCAAUGGCGAAGGCAGCCCCCUGGGAUAACACUGACGCUCAUGUACGAAAGCGUGGGUAGCAAACAGGAUUAGAUACCCUGGUAGUCCACGCCCUAAACGAUGUCAACUGGUUGUUGGGGGAGUGAAAUCCCUUAGUAACGAAGCUAACGCGUGAAGUUGACCGCCUGGGGAGUACGGUCGCAAGAUUAAAACUCAAAGGAAUUGACGGGGACCCGCACAAGCGGUGGAUGAUGUGGAUUAAUUCGAUGCAACGCGAAAAACCUUACCUACCCUUGACAUGUCCAGAAUCCUGCAGAGAUGCGGGAGUGCCCGAAAGGGAAUUGGAACACAGGUGCUGCAUGGCUGUCGUCAGCUCGUGUCGUGAGAUGUUGGGUUAAGUCCCGCAACGAGCGCAACCCUUAUCAUUAGUUGCUACGCAAGGGCACUCUAAUGAGACUGCCGGUGACAAACCGGAGGAAGGUGGGGAUGACGUCAAGUCCUCAUGGCCCUUAUGGGUAGGGCUUCACACGUCAUACAAUGGUCGGUACAGAGGGUUGCCAAGCCGCGAGGUGGAGCCAAUCCCAGAAAGCCGAUCGUAGUCCGGAUUGUUCUCUGCAACUCGAGAGCAUGAAGUCGGAAUCGCUAGUAAUCGCGGAUCAGCAUGUCGCGGUGAAUACGUUCCCGGGUC